rnacentral:rRNA from 1 species
AGGCUUUGAUCCUGGCUCAGGACGAACGCUGGCGGCGUGCUUAACACAUGCAAGUCGAACGAUGAAGCUGGAGCUUGCUCCGGUGGAUUAGUGGCGAACGGGUGAGUAACACGUGAGAAAUCUGCCCUUGACUCUGGGAUAACUGCGGGAAACUGUAGCUAAUACCGGAUACUUUCCCUGGUGGGCAUCCACUGGGGAAGAAAGAAUUUCGGUCAAGGAUGAUCUCGCGGCCUAUCAGCUAGUUGGUGAGGUAAUGGCUCACCAAGGCGACGACGGGUAGCCGGCCUGAGAGGGUGACCGGCCACACUGGGACUGAGACACGGCCCAGACUCCUACGGGAGGCAGCAGUGGGGAAUAUUGCACAAUGGGCGCAAGCCUGAUGCAGCAACGCCGCGUGAGGGACGAAGGCCUUCGGGUUGUAAACCUCUUUUAGCAGGGAAGAAGCGAAAGUGACGGUACCUGCAGAAAAAGCACCGGCUAA